AGCGAAGGGAGGCUGGCGGAUCUGCUACCUUUUGCGGUUCCCACCAAGAGUGACAAAACCUUGCUAGUGUGGGAGCUGAGCUCUGGACCCACGGCCGACGCUUUGCAUAGACAAGGUCUCGCUGUGUUGCUCAUGCUGGUUUUGAACUCCUGGCCUCAAGCCAUCCUCCCAUCUUGGCCUCCCAGAGAGCAGGAUUACAGGCUGUUUCUCUUGGAGGUGGUGCAGGAGGUUGAGGAAAGCACCUCUGAUGAGCAGAUAGCUGGAGGCUGUUCCCACAGUCAUGUCUCAGCGAAGAAGUCGGAGUUCAGCAGCCAUCAGAACCAAGGCAAAGACAAUGCGGCCGUCAUGGUGCAGAGCUGCCUGGAAGGUGAAACUGCCCUUGUCUUCCCAGCCUUGGAGAUAAACGUGGUCCCACUGAACCACAAAGACUGUCCCUGGGGAGAAGAACAGAGACCCGGCUGGACGGGAGAUCAUGCAAGGAGCAGGGCCCUACAGAAAUGCCAGUCGGAGGGCAGCGGCCACAGGUUGGGUCCCUUCGGGAUGAUGGGGAAGUUUGCAAAGGUAAGGAGGCAGGAGCUGGGCAGCUCACUAAAGCAGCGCGGCUUCCAAGCAGCAGAGGAGCCAGAAGAUCCUGCUUCAGCCCCAGAUACUGUACUUGAUCAUCUCUUUCCCUUUCCUUCUUGUCUAUUCUGACUCCUUGAGAUAAAAGAAGGAGGAAUGUCUGUUCUCCUGGAUUCAGACGGGGCUCAAGGGACAUCCUGGUGAAUGUAAGUAACAAUAAAGGCCCCUAACAUUUAUUUUACCUCGACUAAGAGCCAAGCACUGUCGUUUUGUUAUCUCAUCAGAUUCUUCUGGGUAGCAGGCAUUUUUGCCCCUAUCUGACAGGUCAGGAAACUGAGCAGAGAAAGGUAGGUGGCUGCUUUGCCGUGGGACUGUGGGACCCUUGCCCUCUCUAGGCCCUGUGCUCCUCUAAAGGACUGGACAAGGGAUCCCUGGAGCUGGGUGACUUAAAUUCUGAGAUCCAGUCUCACCAUUGUCAAAGUAAACAACUGUGGAGUUGUCGGAGUAGCCAGGGUUGAAGUUGGCCAUCAGGGGCGCCACAUACUGAGUAGCUGUGAGCAUCCGAUGGAUCACGUCCCCCAUGAAGAUGAAGCCUAGGGUGGGAGAGGUGCAGAGGAGUCACCAGAAAUGGCCCAGAGGGGCCGCUUUGGGGGCCUUUUCCCCAAGGGCAAGAAGGGCAGCGCAGGCAGAGCUGGAAGGGGGCUGCCCUGAUGCCACGGCCCCUGGGGUGAGGGCUAAGGAUGCUGCUUCCCAUUGCUGCCACAGCCACCAGCCCUGGAGUCUCGGGAGGGUACCCAGAGGGGGACGCACUGCUCUCCAGCUCUGCCCACAGGCACUGAAGCCACUGCUUCUGCCCAGAGCUCUUAGCCUCCCUCGGGAAAGCAGCUCCCUCUGUUUCUGCCCCUUUCCCCAUCCUCCAGGAGAACUAAUGCUUCAUGUUUUUCCUUGGUGUCUGUCUCUCCUAUUUCCACCCAUCUCUGCUGGAGACCCCUAUCUCAAUUUUUAAAAAAAUCACCCAUCAAGAAACAAAGCUCCGUGCGUGGCACUCUGUGCAGAGAGAUCUGCACAAAGGAAGAGUCCGAUGGCCGCCUCCCAGCCUGCUUCCUGGAUUCACAGGUGAGCAGUUUUUAUUCCACUUCCAAGCAAAAAAAAUAUAGGGGGCCCU
ensembl:lncRNA RDM1P5 RDM1 pseudogene 5